CUGCCCCGUCUCUGGGCCAUGCUAUGCUGUAUACUAUCACUGUCAUCAAAAGGGGUGUGUAUAAGAACCUGAAAAACCAAACCAGCCUGUCUCUAAGGUGUUCCAUAUAUCACAGUCCUGCAGGUGGCUUUAUUCCUACAGUGCUGGGCUGUGCUGCUGCUGAAGCCUCCUGCUCCCCUUGCUCCCAAGACUUGCUUCUGGACUUAAGUGCUGCAUCAGGAGUAAUCACCUACCUAAAACACUUGUUGAAAAGAAGAAAAUCACCUUAAAAGGCUGGAACAGGAAAGGUCUGAAUUCUAUGUUUUUCCCUCCAUCCUCAGCUAUUCACCAUCAUCCUGCCUGCUAUGUUCCCCCACACACAUCAAACUGUACUUUGAAGAACAAUUCUGGCCUGUUCCUGUCACAAGGAGAUGGCUCUUACAUUCUUGUAUGAUGGUAUGAAAUUCUACCUGCCCUUUCUUUUUCUCUAAAAAACCCUGAAGUCUUUCACAGACCCUUGGCUUUGGCUGAUCUUUCCCUCCUCAGUGGCGUAGUACCUUGAUCAAGUUCAUCAUUUACACAAGACAGCAAAGCUCCCUGAAUUCUUUGAUAUGAAAUACAAAAUAUGAACACAUGUGAAGGUGAGAUCUCAGCGUCAGCACCUUUAAAAUGCUCAUCAAACACAACAGUAGUACAAGGGGCUGUGAAAUAUUUGAAAAUAAUUAUCUAAGUCUUUCCAAAACCCAAGCAAAGAUAGA
rnacentral:lncRNA from 1 species